rnacentral:rRNA from 1 species
AACGAACGCUGGCGGCAUGCCUAACACAUGCAAGUCGAACGAGACCUUCGGGUCUAGUGGCGCCUGGGUGCGUAACCGGUUGGAUCCUGCCCUUAUGUUCGGCAUAACUCCCCGAAAGGGGUGCUAAUACCUGAUAAUGUCUUCGGACCAAAGAUUUAUUGCCUUUGGUUGUUCCCGCGUUGGUUUAGCUAGUUGUUAGGGUAAAAGCAUACCACGGCGACGAUCCAUAGCUGGUCUGUGAGGAUGAUCAGCGACACUGGGACUGAGACACGGCCCAGACUCGUACGAGAGGGAGGAGAGGGGGAUAUAGGACAGUGGGCGAAAGGCUGAGCCAGCAAGGCCGGGAGAAUGAUGAAGGCGUUAGAGUUGUAAAGCGCUAGUAACCGGGAUGAUAAUGACGGUACCGAGAGAAUAAGCUCCGGCUAACUACGUG